rnacentral:rRNA from 1 species
CGGGGCUUAAAGUCUUGUAAUUGGAAUGAUGGGAAUUUAAACCUCUUCCAGAGUAUCAAUUGGAGGGCAAGUCUGGUGCCAGCAGCCGCGGUAAUUCCAGCUCCAAUAGCGUAUAUUAAAAUUGUUGCAGUUAAAAAGCUCGUAGUUGAAUUUCUGCUGCAUUGCUUGUGUCCCUCUGGGGUCUGUGCAUGUGGCUUUUUUCGGACGGAGUUUCUUUGUCUGAAUGUUUACUUUGAGAAAAUUAGAGUGCUCAAAGCAGGCUUUCGCCUUGAAUAGUUUAGCAUGGAAUAAUAAAGUAGGACUUUGGUUCUAUUUUGUUGGUUUUAGGUACCAAAGUAAUGGUUAAUAGGAACAGUUGGGGGCAUUCGUAUUUAACUGUCAGAGGUGAAAUUCAUAGAUUUGUUAAAGACGAACUACUGCGAAAGCAUUUGCCAAGGAUGUUUUCAUUAAUCAAGAAC